UGUUCGAAAAGGCAAACUCAUCGAAAGGUGGGGACGCAAAAUCACAGUCUAAGGGUGGCUGAGCCACCUACGACCGACGGAUUACCGAA
rnacentral:ncRNA from 1 species